rnacentral:lncRNA from 1 species
UUCGCCCCUUGCCCUUCCAAGCUGGUGAGUUGAAUGUUGUACGACUUGAGAAACUUAGGAAUUGUGCCGUUGAACACCCUGUGACCACACUCCCAUUAUACAUCAUAGAAGCAACACCACACCCCUCAAAAACAAUCUUAUUGCGUAUUUUGGAAUACAAGAAGGGGCUCCCACCAAGAUCGAAGCUGGUGGCCUUGCUGCUAUUCCGAACAGAGUUUUGGCAACCAGAGUAGAGCGUUGGCAUGCUAACAGUGACUGUUUGAUUAUCUAAGCUAACACCCAAGAUUUCCAUGUGGUUGAGUGCAGAUAGAUAGGGCGUCGAGGAUUUGCACUCAACGACGUACCAUGGGUUGACAGAACAAUUCAAACCGAUUCCAAAAGGGUAUGGAAUCAUCACGCCCCCGCAUGUAUCGUCGCACCCUGUCUUGGCGUAGGUUGAAACUGCAGUUGAUGUUGCUGCUAGUGAAAGGAAAAAGAGUAACUGCAGGUAAGCUUGAAAUAACUUCAUGUUUGUAAAGAAGAAGGGUGUAAGGAGGUGUAUAAGUUUAUAAUGGUGGGUAUGAUUGAAU